GAAAUGCCGAUUUGUAGGGUAGUCUUUCUUGUGAGGUUUCGGUCCAAUGGGAACUGUUGUCUAGUGCAAGUGAUUUUGUGAAAUAAAAAUAAAUGGGUAACACACCAUGCGUGCGUGCGCUGAUGUUUACGGAAAGUAUUCAAGCCUGUUAGCAGAAAUCCGUAUAGAUUCAACUGUCUGAUUAGUGGCUUAUUUGCUAGAAUGUUGACGCUUCUUACUCUGGAGCAUAGAAAAGUUUGGCUACGUGUCAGAUAUAUGAAGACUGUUUGCUUUGAUUGAAGAAUGUUUGUGAACCCUGACAAUGGGGAAACUGCAAAGCAAAAUCAGUCGAAGUUCAUUGAAAUACAGGACAGAAAUACAUGUGGAAGGUGAGCCUCCCAGCCAGAUAGUUCAGCAGUAUAAUCCUGCUCAUAGUGAUGCUGUCACUUCAUUGGCCACCCUGACCUCUGACCUUAGUGUUUCAGGUGGAAAAGACAAGGU